rnacentral:rRNA from 1 species
AUUGAACGCUGGCGGCAGGCCUAACACAUGCAAGUCGAACGAGUGGCGGACGGGUGAGUAAUGUCUGGGAAACUGCCUGAUGGAGGGGGAUAACUACUGGAAACGGUAGCUAAUACCGCAUACCAUCGGAUGUGCCCAGAUGGGAUUAGCUAGUAGGUGGGGUAACGGCUCACCUAGGCGACGAUCCCUAGCUGGUCUGAGGGGAUGACAAGCCACACUGGAACGGUGCACGGGUCCAGAUUCCUAGGGGAGGCAGCAGUGGGGAAAAUUGCACAAUGGGCGCAAGCCGGAGGCAGCCUUGCCGCUUGUAUGAAGAAGGCCUUCGGUUUGAAAAGUACUUUAAGCGGGGAGGCGUUACCCGCAGAAGAAGCACCGGCUAACUCCGUGCCAGCAGCCGCGGUAAUA